rnacentral:misc_RNA from 1 species
CUGAAAAACUAAUAAGUUUUUUAUAUCCCUUUGUUUACCUACUCUGUUGCUUCCAUCAGAGGAAGUUGUUCCUUUGGUGCCAAGAUUCUAUAAAGAAACCUUUUGUGAAUAAAUGUCUGAUAAAAUUCUAAAAAUAGAAAUAA